UGCCGCAGUAUUCUGACUGUGCUAAGGUAGCAUAAUAAUUAGUUUUUUAAUUGAAAACUAGCAUGAAAGACUUGACAAGAAAAGUCCUGUCUACUAAUUUUUGUAAAAAAAUUCUAUGAAAGUAAAAAAGCUUUCUAAAUAUAAAGGGACGACAAGACCCUAAAAUCUACUUUAGUUUUAUUUAUCCCUUAAUAAUAAAAUAUAAAUUAAAGAUUAUUGGGGCGAUAAAUAUUUUAAACACACAAUAAUAAAACGUAUUAUACGGGUUUACCUAUCCUACUAAGAAAAUAAAAAGAUACUUUAGGGAUAACAGCAUAAUUCUUCUUAAGAGCCCUAAUCGUCAGUAGAGUUUAUGACCUCGAUGUUGAAUUGAAAUUACUAUCUUAAGCAGCCUUAAAAAAAGUAAGUCUGUUCGACUUUUAAAUUUUCACGUGAUCUGAGUUCAGACCGGA
rnacentral:rRNA from 1 species